UACAGAGGUCUCAAGCGUUGUUCGGAUUCAUUGGGCGUAAAGGGUGCGUAGGCGGCGCGGUAAGUCGGGUGUGAAAUCUUGGAGCUUAACUCCGAAACUGCAUUCGAUACUGCCGUGCUUGAGGACUGGAGAGGAGACUGGAAUUUACGGUGUAGCGGUGAAAUGCGUAGAUAUCGUAAGGAAGACCAGUGGCGAAGGCGGGUCUCUGGCCCGGUACUGACGCUGAGGCGCGAAAGCGUGGGGAGCAAACAGG
rnacentral:rRNA from 1 species